AGAGUUUGAUCCUGGCUCAGGAUGAACGCUGGCGGCGUGCCUAAUACAUGCAAGUCGAGCGAACGGACGAGAAGCUUGCUUCUCUGAUGUUAGCGGCGGACGGGUGAGUAACACGUGGAUAACCUACCUAUAAGACUGGGAUAACUUCGGGAAACCGGAGCUAAUACCGGAUAAUAUUUUGAACCGCAUGGUUCAAAAGUGAAAGACGGUCUUGCUGUCACUUAUAGAUGGAUCCGCGCUGCAUUAGCUAGUUGGUAAGGUAACGGCUUACCAAGGCAACGAUGCAUAGCCGACCUGAGAGGGUGAUCGGCCACACUGGAACUGAGACACGGUCCAGACUCCUACGGGAGGCAGCAGUAGGGAAUCUUCCGCAAUGGGCGAAAGCCUGACGGAGCAACGCCGCGUGAGUGAUGAAGGUCUUCGGAUCGUAAAACUCUGUUAUUAGGGAAGAACAUAUGUGUAAGUAACUGUGCACAUCUUGACGGUACCUAAUCAGAAAGCCACGGCUAACUACGUGCCAGCAGCCGCGGUAAUACGUAGGUGGCAAGCGUUAUCCGGAAUUAUUGGGCGUAAAGCGCGCGUAGGCGGUUUUUUAAGUCUGAUGUGAAAGCCCACGGCUCAACCGUGGAGGGUCAUUGGAAACUGGAAAACUUGAGUGCAGAAGAGGAAAGUGGAAUUCCAUGUGUAGCGGUGAAAUGCGCAGAGAUAUGGAGGAACACCAGUGGCGAAGGCGACUUUCUGGUCUGUAACUGACGCUGAUGUGCGAAAGCGUGGGGAUCAAACAGGAUUAGAUACCCUGGUAGUCCACGCCGUAAACGAUGAGUGCUAAGUGUUAGGGGGUUUCCGCCCCUUAGUGCUGCAGCUAACGCAUUAAGCACUCCGCCUGGGGAGUACGACCGCAAGGUUGAAACUCAAAGGAAUUGACGGGGACCCGCACAAGCGGUGGAGCAUGUGGUUUAAUUCGAAGCAACGCGAAGAACCUUACCAAAUCUUG
rnacentral:rRNA from 3 species